UACGGAGGAUGCAAGCGUUAUCCGGAUUGAUUGGGCGUAAAGCGUCUGUAGGUGGUUACGCUAGUCGGCUGUUAAAGAUCAGGGCUGAACCCUGAGCAAGCAGUCGAAACUGCGUGGCUGGAGUACGGUAGAGGGGGAUGGAAUUCCGCGUGUAGCAGUGAAAUGCGUAGAUAUGCGGAGGAACACCGAUGGCGAAGGCAGCCCCCUGGGCUAACACUGACGCUCAGGCACGAAAGCGUGGGGAGCAAACAGG
rnacentral:rRNA from 1 species